CCCCUCUCAGGGUCGCAACUGGUGACUUUCCAGUAUUCUACCAGUCUCAGCUAAGGGAGGGAGAGUCCAGCAGAGGCCUACCCAUUCCAUUCCUAGCUUGGGCAGUAGCUAGUGAGUGGAAGGCAACUGCAACAAAU